GCCAGUGAAGACGAUGGUGCACCCGGAGGUCGGUUACGAGCAGCACCAGCGACAAGGCGACACCGACUUUGCGCAAAUGUUCACUGACAUUGGCGUCUACUAUGCUCCUGGUCCUGUUCUCCGUGGUGAGGCGUUUGAUGGGGCUGAGGCGGUGCACCGGCUCGAAGAGUGGCUGAUCCAGAACCAUGGCUUUCAGCCGCAGUACUCGGUUUCGGAGCUUUCCGAGACUAACUUCUGGCGCAUGUUUGAUGGGGAGUUGUACGAGAAAUGCCGACGGAAGUAUAUGGCUGUGGGUACUUUCAUGGAUGUGUACUAUAAGUCGAAAAAGGGGAAGAAGACCGAGAAGGAGGUGAGGGAGGCGGAGGCUGUGGUUGCGGAUGUGACGGAGAUGGAGAGGGAGGACGGCAAGGAGGACUGAGAGUUGGAAGAAAUGGGUGUAGUAGAACUAAGUAGUUUUAUAGAUCGCUCUGAAUUUGCAGAAAUAAGGUGAUGUAGGGC
rnacentral:misc_RNA from 1 species